rnacentral:rRNA from 1 species
GUGGGGAAUCUUGCGCAAUGGGCGAAAGCCUGACGCAGCCAUGCCGCGUGAAUGAUGAAGGUCUUAGGAUUGUAAAAUUCUUUCACCGGGGACGAUAAUGACGGUACCCGGAGAAGAAGCUCCGGCUAACUUCGUGCCAGCAGCCGCGGUAAUACGAAGGGGGCUAGCGUUGCUCGGAAUUACUGGGCGUAAAGGGCGCGUAGGCGGCGUGGUAAGUCAGAUGUGAAAUCCCGGGGCACAACCCCUGAACUGCAUCCGAUACUGCCAUGCUUGAGGGUUGGAGAGGUAGCUGGAAUUCUCGGUGUAGCAGUGAAAUGCGUGGAUAUCGAGAGGAACACGCGUGGCGAAGGCGAGCUACUGGACAACAUCUGACGCUGAGGCUCGAAGGCCAGGGGAGCAAAAGGGAUUAGAAACCCUAGUAGUCC